GGCCUCGUCGAUGUAGUGGUAGCACGCGCUCCUGGCAAAGGCGAAACGCGGGUUCAACCCCUGAUUGAGGUCC